CAGCACAGCCCCCUCCAGGGCUACGUGCCACCUCCUGGCUGCUGAAAUGCCUUGGAGAAGCCGGGGCUGAGAGGAGUCGCUCCUCUCCCCAUGUCCUUUCCGACGCCUGAUGGGAAUCUGGAGCAGGCGAAGGCUGGAGAAAAAUCCCCAUUACAUUUCCCAGGGAUUAAGAGGGAAAUUCCCAGCGCACACUCUGUGCAAAUGAAACCCAGGCUCCUUUCCGUUGUUCGGCAGCCCCGGGAGAACACGUUACCUUUCAAUCUCGCACUCUAAUGUGUUUAGAGUUAAAAUCCCCCCGCCCCAGGCGAGCAAAGGAAGGAUCCCAGAGCCUUGAUUAAAGCACGGCUUCCUGAGCAAGGAUGUGCAUGUGGAGCUGCUGGGCUUGCAGUGUGCCCUGCCCAGCCAGAUGAGCCCAUGAGCACCAAGAGAUGCCACGACAUUCCAGUUUUCUGGUGGUGUCCUCAACAUGUGAUUUUGGAGAAGAAAAGCACCCACAGCCAUCACCCAGGGACCAGCUGCCCAUCACCACAGCGCUGGCAAACGUCCACUUUGGGAGGAUAACGAGCAUUUCUGGCUGCAGCAGCAGCAUAAAACACCACGAACUGCUGCUUGCAGGCUUCUCCCAUCGCUGCUCGCAGCAUCUGUGGAAGGGAAAACUUCCCAGCGUAACAUCCACAACCUCUUAACUGAGGGACCCUUCCCCAUGGCCAGAAACACUCAGCGGCUGUGCAGACAGAGCAGCUCUGCCUCCUGCACGGCUGGGCCAGGCACAGAGUGGCAGGCUGGCCCCAGAGAUGGGCUCCACAUCUGUGUAGGAAC